rnacentral:rRNA from 1 species
GACGAACGCUGGCGGCGUGCUUAACACAUGCAAGUCGAACGGUAAGGCCCUUCGGGGUACACGAGUGGCGAACGGGUGAGUAACACGUGGGUGAUCUGCCCUGCACUUCGGGAUAAGCCUGGGAAACUGGGUCUAAUACCGGAUAGGACCACUGCCUGCAUGGGUGGUGGUGGAAAGCUUUUGCGGUGUGGGAUGGGCCCGCGGCCUAUCAGCUUGUUGGUGGGGUGAUGGCCUACCAAGGCGACGACGGGUAGCCGGCCUGAGAGGGUGACCGGCCGCACUGGGACUGAGAUACGGCCGAGACUGCGACGGGAGGCAGCAGUGGGGAAUAUUGCACAAUGGGCGCAAGCCUGAUGCAGCGACGCCGCGUGGGGGACGACGGCCUUCGGGUUGUAAACCUCUUUCAGCACCGACGAAGCGCAAGUGACGGUAGGUGCAGAAGAAGGACCGGCCAACUACGUGCCAGCAGCCGCCGCAG